GGAGCUUGCUCCUCUGAUCAGUGGCGAACGGGUGAGUAACACGUGAGCAACCUGCCCCAGACUCUGGGAUAACAGUUGGAAACAGCUGCUAAUACCGGAUACGAGACGGAGAGGCAUCUCUACCGUCUGGAAAGUUUUUCGGUCUGGGAUGGACUCGCGGCCUAUCAGCUAGUUGGUGAGGUAAUGGCUCACCAAGGCGACGACGGGUAGCCGGCCUGAGAGGGCGACCGGCCACACUGGGACUGAGAGACGGCCCAGACUCCUACGGGAGGCAGCAGUGGGGAAUAUUGCACAAUGGGCGAAAGCCUGAUGCAGCGACGCCGCGUGAAGGAUGACGGCCUUCGGGUUGUAAACCUCUUUCAGCAGGGAAGAAGCGAAAGUGACGGUACCUGCAGAAGAAGCACCGGCUAACUACGUGCCAGCAGCCGCGGUAAUACGUAGGGUGCGAGCGUUGUCCCGGAAUUAUUGGGCGUAAAGAGCUUGUAGGCGGUUUGUCGCGUCUGCAGUGAAAAUCCCGAGGCUCAACCUCGGACUUGCUGUGGGUACGGGCAGACUAGAGUAUGGUAGGGGAGACCGGAAUUCCUGGUGUAGCGGUGGAAUGCGCAGAUAUCAGGAGGAACGCCGAUGGCGAAGGCAGGUCCCUGGGCCAUAACUGACGCUGAGAAGCGAAAGCAAGGGGAGCGAACAGGAUUAGAUACCCUGGUAGUCCAUGCCGUAAACGUUGGGCGCUAGGUGUGGGG
rnacentral:rRNA from 1 species